CAAGUAAACCGGGUGACCGCCCCGAUUUAUUUCGGGGAGGAAAGUCCGAGCUCCACCGGGCAUGAUGCUGGGUAACACCCAGGAGGGGCGACCCUACGGAAAGUGCCACAGAAACAUACCGUCCUUCACUUUGUGAAGGAUAAGGGUGAAAUGGUGAGGUAAGAGCUCACCGGCGGCCGGGUGACCGGCCGGCCGGGCAAACCCCAUCUGGAGCAAGACCGAAUAGAGGGACAAAGGGACGCCCGGCCCGUCCCCGGGUUGGUCGCUUGACUCCGAUGGCAACAUCGGGGCUAGAUAGAUGGUCACCGUCCUUCACUUUGUGAAGGAUACAGAACUCGGCUUACAGGUUUACUUGGCUC
rnacentral:RNase_P_RNA from 1 species